ensembl:lncRNA
GUAAGAGAUUAGGGGUCGGGGUGUGGUUAGCGUUCUGAUCAUUUCUUAAUCCGGAAUUUGAAUACAUUCCAACCACACUGUUGCGCUAGGGAGAGCAAACGAUCCUAAUGGGCAGUGCGUGCACAGAGAUGAUUGGGUUUUUUGUUUUCGAGACAAAUUGGUAAGCUGGAGGUGUUCGCUCUAGUUAAUAAAUAAAGUUAAAAUGCACAGAAAUGGGAUUGGGAUUGGAUUGAAAGGCAGGAGAUUGGGAUUGGAUUGGAAAGCAGGAAAAUGUGUUGGGAUUGGACUGGAAGGCAGGAAAAUGUGAUUGGGAUUGGUUGGAAGGCAGGAGAUUGGGAUUGGAAGGCAGGAAAAUGGGAUUGGAUUGAAAGGCAGGAAAAUGGGAUUGGGAUUGGACUGAAAUGCAGGAAAAUGGGAUUGGGAUUGGAUUGAAAGGCAGGAAAUUGGGAUUGGACUGGAAUGCAGGAAAAUGGGAUUGGGAUUAGAUUGAAAGGCAGGAAAAUGGGAUUGGGAUUGGACUGGAAUGCAGGAAAAUGUGAUUGGGAUUGGAUUGAAAGGCAGGAAAUUGGGAUUGGACUGGAAUGCAGGAAAAUGGGAUUGGGAUUAGAUCGAAAGGCAGGACAUUGGGAUUGGACUGGAAGGCAGGAAAACGGAAAACCAUACGUAUUGGAGCCAUGGUGUUUAUAUAAUCUAAGUAAAAAAUGGAAGAAGUCAAACAUAUGUUUAUAGAAAAUUAGAGUACAAGUUUGAGGUUUUAGGAAGACG